rnacentral:misc_RNA from 1 species
AUACUGAGAUUCAUGUUUUUAGAGGUACUUCAUUAGCUAAUUUGUGUUGUGCAUGAUAUAAGGUAUUUUGUUGUUAUAGCUUGAGUCAUGGAUUUAUGGAUUGCUUUGAGCCUUUAUAUGCAUGCCCAAGUGUUAUUAUGAGCUUGGAAGAUAGUAAUGAUGAAUAUUAUAGCUUAGUAUUUGUUGUAUAUUGCAAUAUUUUCUUAUGGGAGUACAUAGACAAGUAUUAAUGUGUAAAUAUUUGGAUGUACUUUUACGAGCUAUCCCUGAUUGAUGCUAAUUUAAUCUGAUAUUUUGUUUGCAUAUAAAUGUGUUUGCUAAGAUCAAUGCUUGAGGUGGAAGAUAUUACAAACUCACUUGAACAAGUGACAUGAACUGUGGGGACUUAGAUAGCAUUUACUGCUUAAAUAUAGGGAUCAGAGAGGUUCAAUCAAGUAUAUUGAUGAGGAAUAAGAAAGAUGGCAGGUUCACAUUUAUGCUUUAAACAUUUGAUUGAUUUAUGCUGAAGUCAUUGUGGCUUGAUGAUAUCUAAAGAAAGAGAGUGUAAUAUUAAUAUGCCUUCUGUUUCUUAGGUACACACUGAGAUUGUCAUGUAUUAAUUUGCUUGUUAUAGAUGAUGUACAAAAUCAUCCAUGGGGGUGUGGUUACUUUGCAAGUUGGAUGACCAUGUAUUCACCAAAGAGUGUGAAAUAAAAUUAUAGAGAAUUUGGAAUGUGGAAUAAUUGAGCGUCAGUCACAACCAGAAUUCUAUAUAUUUGCUUUGUUGAUUCAAACUAUAAGUUGUAUGUGAGAGAUUUGUAGAUUCUGCUUAGAGAACAUCUUGGUUGGCAAAAGUACCUUCGAAUGUGAUAAAUGUCAAUGUCAUGCCAAGGUGGAAUUUCAUAGUUCAAUUCUCAUAUAUUUACUAAGUUAUUGAUUUUAUUUUAUUAUAUCUUUUAAUAUCUUGUAGUUAGCCAUAACUAUUAUAGGCUAAUAUAUCAUAUAUGGAAUUCAUUAAUGAUUUUUCCUGUCUGAUGGCAGUAUGUUUUAAGGGACUCAGCAA